ensembl:snRNA U6 U6 spliceosomal RNA
AUGCUCUCUUCAGCGGCCCAUAUACUAAAAUUGGAACGACACGGAGAAGAUUAGCAAGGCCCUGUGAAGGCUGACAUGCAAAUUCAUGACACGGUCCAUAUUUUU